rnacentral:lncRNA from 1 species
CUGGGCCUCCAGGAGGUCAUGACCUUCAAAGCAAGAAUGAGGAAGCCCACGAUGGUAGCGUGGGGCCCUGCAUGAAGUGCCUGUGACGGGAGAUGGAAGAACUCUGUCAUAUGUCCGUGAGAGUGAAAGGAACCUCAAGCAUUCAAGGAAACCAAACCGGUACCCAAGAUAGAUGAAGAGAUCAGGAAUUUACCAGGUCACAGAGGCUUCUUGGCAGCCACCUGCAGGAGACGGAUAACACCAUGGCCAGGGCCCCCAUGCUCCAUACCGUGUCUGUGACCUCCACAGACUCACUCCACAAUGUGACUUUGGGUAGGUCACAGUACCUGUACGGCCUCAGCUUCCCCACCUGUCAGAUGGGAAGAACAACAGCGCCCUCCCCAUGAAGCCAUCAUGAGCACCACACCAGGUAAAUCAUGACCUGCUCUCGUGCAUGCAGGGAUGUCAAUGAAGACGAGUUCCUUUUCCCUGAAGUGAUGAAAGGGACUUUUAGAAAAGAGGAAGUGGGUGGAUUCUUAGGAAACCUUAGUUCCAUCCCAGGCAAGUGGCUCUGAUGAUUCAGUAGGUGACUUCCAGGUGUUCCCAGGAGGCGCAAGCUACCAAAGUCAUGUCCUCUCACCUGAAUUUUCAUCCAGCCCAACCCUGCCUCUGGACACCUAUCCCCUCUUGGGACCUCGAGGCCAGGCCUGGAGAGGAUGUGAACGCCUGGAGGCCCUGAUAUGUCACUGGAUCGCACCUCUCCAGUUGACGCUUCCCAAUGGCUCCUGUGUCGCUCUCAGGAAAAGCCGGGGAAUUAUUGCGUGCCCUGGCCUCCUUGCCUGCAUCCUCUGCUCUCCUCCCUGCACCCUCCUCUCUCUGGCUGCACUGCAGAGGCCUCCCCUGGGGUAUCAGUUGAGGCAGGCUGGGGUGUGCUGUGGUGACCAUCCCUACUCACUGGGCCUUAAAACAGAGAGGGGCAUUUCUCAUUCCAGCUUCA